UGGAAGAGUUGCCGCUCUCAACAGGUUCAUCUCUUGCUUAGGUGAACAUUUAAUGAGAGAGAUAUGUGGGUUAGAAACUACGCCUUUUCUUACUCCUCAUGUGUAAAGCAUAUAUGUUCCCGGCUAUUUUAAUGUCAAUAUUAGUGUUCGUUUCACCACUCUCUUGUUAAGUUCCACCUAUUACCUCUACUUUAGAUUCUUAUGCAAUCUCUUUCUCCUCCCAAGCUUUCUCCUUUUGAGAUUCUUCCUUCUUCUCCUAUGUAGAGGACGAUGAGGGUUUUGAACCUUAUUUCUUCUUGAUCUUUAACUGUUUUAAAGAGUUGAGCUCACUUGUAAACAACAUAGAUGAGUAUCAAUAUAACAAUUAUACAUGUUGUACAAAAAAAAAGGAAAAUGACAAAUUAUCUCUCAUACCAUAUAUAUUUUCAUCUAGAGAAUGCCAUUAAACCAACUAAAAGAGGUAGUAUUGACAAUUAUUAGCAAGAUUUCAAAAUACAUUCUCAGUUGGACUCAAAGGAAAAACAAUAUUAUUUGCAACAGACACUCUAAAUUAGAGAACAUCCAUAUAUUUUUUUAUUAGAGAUUAUAAAACCAUGAUAAUACACUAUGAUCCAAUCACUCCUUUAAAUUUUUACUGCUAGUGACUUGCCUUGAAAAAUAUCUUUCAAAGAAUUCCGUGUUCUUCUCUUGCAAAAGUCUAAAAGCAUGCCACACUUUUCUUUUCUUUUAGCUUUAAGAAGAACUAGACGGACU
rnacentral:lncRNA from 1 species